rnacentral:rRNA from 1 species
AACGAACGCUGGCGGCAGGCCUAACACAUGCAAGUCGAGCGAGGACUUCGGUCCUAGCGGCGGACGGGUGAGUAACGCGUGGGAACGUGCCCUUUGCUUCGGAAUAGCCCUGGGAAACUGGGAGUAAUACCGGAUGAGCCCUUUUGGGGGAAGAUUUAUCGGAUAAGGAUCGGCCCGAGUUGGAUUAGGUAGUUGUGGGGGUAAUGGCCUACCACGCCGUGAAUCCAUAGCUUGGUUGUGAGGCUGGUCCGCCACACUGGGACUGGGAAACGGCCCAGACUCCUCCGGGAGGGGGCAGUGGGGAAUGUUGGACAAUGGGGGAAAUCAUGAUCGAGCCAUGCCGGGAGAGCGAUGAUGGCCUUAGGGAUGUAAAGCUCUAUCAGCUGGGAAGGUAUUGACGGUACCAGAAGAAGAAGCCACGGCUAACUCCGUG